rnacentral:rRNA from 1 species
AUUGAACGCUGGCGGCAGGCCUAACACAUGCAAGUCGAACGAGUGGCGGACGGGUAAGUAAUGUCUGGGAAACUGCCCGAUGGAGGGGGAUAACUACUGGAAACCGUAGCUAAUACCGCAUACCAUCGGAUGUUCCCAGACGGGAUUAGUUAGUAGGUGGGGUAAUGGAUCACCAAGGCGACGAUCCCUAGCUGGUCUGAGAGGAUGACCACCCACAUUGGAACUGAGACACGGCCCAGACUCCUACGGGAGGCAGCAGUGGGGAAUAUUGCACAAUGGGCGCCAGCCUAACCUAGCCGUGCCACUUGUAUGCAGAAGGCCUUCGGGUUGUAAAGUACUUUCAGCGAGGAGGCGUUACUCGCAGAAGAAGCACCGGCUAACUCCGUGCGAGCAGCCGCGGUAAUAC